rnacentral:lncRNA from 1 species
GAGAGCAAAACAACAACAAAAAUUAUACUGACCCAGCAUUCUCUGGCUUAUCAGUCUCCAUUGGUUCAGUAGAUUCUGGUGGGACGUCACUACUAGCGGCACCAGCAUUCCCAUUAGCAUCACCACCCUGAGGUGGUGGGGUUGCUGGUGUUGGUGGAGUAACUGGCUUGGCCGGCUUUGGUUUCGUCAUAAUCGGCUUAGAGAACCUGUUAAGAAGUCGAUAUUAUGUCAAACAGAAAACAUAAUGAACAAUUAACUAAAAAAAUAUGAUAUACAAUGAUAAGAAUCCGACAUAAAAAAAGAGCAGCUCAGUGCACGAGGCUCCCACUUAGUGGGGUAUGGGGAGGGUAAAUGUACACAGCCUUGGAAAGGUUGUUUCCGGGAUUUGAACCUAUAUGACCUCAUGGUCACUAAGCAACAACCUUUUUAACAGGUUUAUAUAAACACAUGUAGACCACAACAAAGGACUAUCAAUAGCUAAAUAAGCUGAAACCACCUACACACAGAAAGAAAUUGAAAAAUACCUAUCAACAGCCUCAGCUUUCUUUCUUAUAUCGGCAGACAAGAGUACAGGGUUGGCAUAUUUUGGAAGUGAGUCCUGCUGCUGCUUCUUCUCCCUAAGCCAGUUUUCAGCUUCAACACAUUCAGUUAAGACCUAUGAACAUAAAAGGAAAAAACAAUUUCCGAUUAAAGCAUGUUAGUAACCACUUAUUUUGGACAAAUAGUUGUUUUUUGUUAUAAAAAAAAAUCUCUCUGAGCUUUCUGUUUUGAUUUUGAAUACAAAACAAGCUAAUCCAAACAUGAUCCGAUAACUAAUUAAGAAACAAAGGCAAGAAAAUAGAUCUGUGAUACCUUCUGUUUCUCGUUGAUGUCAAUAUGAUCAAAUUUGGGAUCAGUUGACAAUGCAGCUUCUCUGUAACUAUUAAUACAAUAGAUGAACUGAUCAAUCACUGUACCCCUCUCCGUAUAUUCUUUAUAACGCUCUUCAACUGGAUCACCUUGCUGCAACCACAUAAAUCUCCAUUAAAAUUACAAGCAUAAAACUAGCAUGGAAGUAUCUCAAAACCACUUAUGGUUGUGCACACAAAAAAAGAAAAGGGUAAUAGCAACAGAGAUUCACCCAUCCCUUUCUCUUUGUACAAUUUUAAAGUUUGAGAGUGAAAGCAAGAAUUCUUUAUUCUUUUACCCCCAAAACUUCUUACCUUUUUUAGUUCUUCAAGUUUGGCAACAUAUACACCUUUAGUUUCAUCUUCGCCAUCCUCAUAUAGCCAGUCUUCCACCUCCUGAAGUUUGGCAAUAAAACCUUCCUUCUCUGGAGCAGUCACAAACUCUUCAUAUUUGUCAUUAAGCUGGAAUGAUAGCAGAAAAAUUAGUUUCAGCGAUCAUCAAAUGAUAAACAUUUGCAUUUGAUGGUUUGACCUUGGGUAAGAGAAGGACAUAGAUAAUCCUCACCUUGUUUCUCAUGUCAUAAACAUAAGCCUCAACUGCAUUUUUCUUGUCCUUGGUUUCUUCCAUCACCCGAUCUUGCAAAGCCAUUUCAAACUCCUUCUCAACAGCUUUCUGAACAUCCACAGGUAUCAUUGCUCCAUAAACUAACUCUGCUACUGGAAUGUUUGUUUUCUUAACCUUUUUCUUGGGAGCCUGAACCUACAACAUCAGAAGCCCAGUCAGCCAAAUUACAAAAAUCAAUUAGCCAUACUGUACAACAGAACUAGUUGAAGCACAAAGUUCAAAAAAUCAAAGUACAAAAUUUGCAUAUAUGGGUAUCAGAUUGUGCAUUACAGUAUAUCCAUCGGAGUGUUAAAAUCAUGUAUAGAGUGAAGAACGAAACCAUUUAAGUUUAAACCAUCACAGUUUGGCACGAACACACAGAAAUAACAAAAUAAAACUUAACAAUCAAGGUCAUAUUUGCAAAGUUCUUCCGGAAAAUGUUUUCCAGUUUGUUUGAACACAACUUGAACAGGUACUAUCCUCUUCCUUUCUAAAAACUAUGUGGUGAUAAUACAUUCAAGAUCUUAACCUAGCUCCCUACCCCCAAAAAAUAAAUUCAAAACUGCUAUCUAGAACCUCCUAUAUGUGAACACCCAUAUAAAUACACAGCAUGAUUUGCAUUGCCAAAAGCACCAAUCAGACAGAAAGCUAGAUAAAACAAUAACUAGCUCAAAACAAAAUAACAAAACCAAUUAACGUCAAAAAGUUCAACAAUGUUAUAAAGAAUUAAAAACAAAUAUUUCAUGCAUAUGAUCAAAUAUUCCUUUUAACAGUGCCAACCUUGGUAUCAGAAUCCGUUUGCACAGGCUUAUCUCCACUGUCAAAGGUACCAUUUUCCACCCCGGGGGUAUCAUCACUGGCCUUUGCAUCUUGCAUGUUAACAUCACUGUCAUUGAAGGUUGGAGGCACAGCAGCAUUUGUAGGAGCUCCAUCAGUGUCCAUCUUGGUAUUUUCUGCAGCUGAUUCUUUGGAAACUGGCACCUCGACUUCUUCCUCUUCCAACAUCUAAACAAAACAAGGAAAAGCUGUUACAUAACAGGAAUAAAUGCUCUCUGGUUUAUUACCAUAAGCUUAUCAGAGAAGGUCUGGCAGGAAAAAAAAUCACCAAAAUAUAAUGAUACUUACAGUUGCCAAGUCCACAGAUACGAUUCCAUGCAGAUUCAAUCGAACUUUAACCUUAACCUUUGCCCUUUCACUUUUUGUGCUUUGGAAAGGACCAAUCUGCAUACACAUGAGAAUCAGCAAAAGGACUGCCAAGAGGAAAGAAUGUAAUAAAGAAAGAGGACACUUGGAAACCCACUCACAGUAUAUGUGCUAAUCUUAGAAGCUUGCAGCCCACUCGCAUCACCAUAUUGUACAUCAACAGAAAAUGUUCCUGACCUGUAGAAUGUCAGUGCCUUGAUACUUGGUAUGGGAUUGCCUUUGGGGAAAACAACUGUACUCAGCUGAUUAUCUGAUCCACUAUUUUGUGCAUCCGGACCAGAACCUUUCCAUGAAAGAGAAAUAGAGAAAGGUAGGCUUUCGUUGACCUACACAUUAUUAAAUAAAAUAGCAACAUCAUACCAUGUACAAAUCAUAGUGUAUGACCAAUUCACUUCUCAGACAUAGCAAUUAAAAAAGCACAAAAUAAACUGAAGCCAAAUUCCAAAAGGCCUAUACAGAGGCAAAUACAAGAAUUCAACAACCAAGCCUUAAUCUCACCAGGUGGGAUCAGCUAAGGCAUAUACCAGAAUAAGUAAUUAAAAUAGCAUAACAAAUGCUUAAGUGUGUUUUCCUAAAGACUUUAGCAGUUUAGUACAGAAUAAGUACUGGGGAUAAUAACCAAACAAGCUUACAAAAGUGUAAUAUAUGAGGCUCUCUGAGCUGCAGUAGAAAACAGUGCAAUGGAAGACAAAACUUUACCUGAAAUUCUCGUACUCUAAAUGUUGGACUAAGAAUUGCACACUGCAAGGCGCAACCCCUGGCAACGCAUUCACUAGCAUUCAUUGUCCGCCUAGGGUCCUUUUUGAAAAACUCUGUCAAUAUUUUAUUUAUAGCUGGUACACGAGAACCUGAACCAACAAUCUCAACCAUGUGUACAUCUUCAACCGUAAGGCCUGCUUCAGCAAGUGCCUUCUCCAAAGGUCCCUUCACACGUUCCAGAAUUGGAAGACUUAGUUGCUCAAAGUCAUCACGUUUGAUGAAGCUCCUGACAUCCUUCUCAUCCAUUAAGCACUCGAUGUUCAGAGGUGCCUCAGGAUUUGCACUAAGCACCUUCUUUAGCUUCUCACAAGCAGCUCUGAGCCUUAGAGAAUUUGGCCUAUUCCCAAAGGGUUCCACACACAAUUAUUCUCUCUUCAAAACCUUUUUUUCUGGAAAAAAUAAAUCCGGAUUCCAAAGACCACAACAUUAAAAAUUUAUGCAACUGUCAAAAUAUAUUAAUAAAAACUUACUCAAAUGAUAUGGCUCAUGGCUCUAUACCAAAGAUCCAAGAUUCUCAGUAGCCAAGCCAGCUUAGAAGUUAGUAGUGACUACAGAUCUUGGCAUGAGAAUUUGAGAGCAAAACAACAACAAAAAUUAUACUGACCCAGCAUUCUCUGGCUUAUCAGUCUCCAUUGGUUCAGUAGAUUCUGGUGGGACGUCACUACUAGCGGCACCAGCAUUCCCAUUAGCAUCACCACCCUGAGGUGGUGGGGUUGCUGGUGUUGGUGGAGUAACUGGCUUGGCCGGCUUUGGUUUCGUCAUAAUCGGCUUAGAGAACCUGUUAAGAAGUCGAUAUUAUGUCAAACAGAAAACAUAAUGAACAAUUAACUAAAAAAAUAUGAUAUACAAUGAUAAGAAUCCGACAUAAAAAAAG